GUAAUUGUGUAACGUUAAUCGAGAGUGACCGUCGCGUGAUGAUGCGGCCGUUCAUUAUCAUUUCAUACACGGUGUCGGAAACGAUGAAAAUUCGCUCGUUAAAAACGUCCGACAACGAUUCUAUUGCAUUGCGGUCUGAAAACGCCGCAUGUUUAGUGGGGAAAAAAAACCCCCCCCGCUGAAAAUGGGCAACAGCGACGAGAACUAUAACAUUUCAAUAUUUGUUGUAGCGCUAUGGAUUUUCAGC